AUUGAACGCUGGCGGCAGGCCUAACACAUGCAAGUCGAACGAGUGGCGGACGGGUGAGUAAUGUCUGGGAAACUGCCUGAUGGAGGGGGAUAACUACUGGAAACGGUAGCUAAUACCGCAUACCAUCAGAUGUGCCCAGAUGGGAUUAGCUUGUUGGUGGGGUAACGGCUCACCAAGGCGACGAUCCCUAGCUGGUCUGAGAGGAUGACCGGCAACACUGGAAUGGAGACAGGGUCCAGAUUCCUACGGGAGGCAGCAGUGGGGAAUAUUGCACAAUGGGCGCAAGCCUGAGGCAGCCAGGCCGCGUGUAUGAAGAAGGCUUUGGGGUUGUAAAGUACUUUCAGCGGGGAGGCGUUACCCGAAGAAGAAGCACCGGCUAACUCCGUGCCAGCAGCCGCGGUAAUAC
rnacentral:rRNA from 1 species